rnacentral:tRNA from 1 species
GCAAACAUGGCUGAGUGGUCUAAGGCGCUGCGUUUAGGCCGCAGUUAUCAUGAGUUCGAAUCUCAUUGUUUGUA